rnacentral:rRNA from 1 species
UACAUGGGGUGCAAACGUUGCUCGGAAUCAUUGGGCGUAAAGCGCGCGUAGGCGGUUAUCUAAGUCGGAUGUGAAAGCCCUCGGCUUAACUGAGGAAGUGCAUCCGAAACUGAAUAGCUAGAGUACGAAAGAGGGUCGCGGAAUUCCCGGUGUAGAGGUGAAAUUCGUAGAUAUCCUGAGGAACACCGGUGGCGAAAGCGGCGCGCUGGAUCCCUUCUGACGCUGAGGCGCGAAAGCCAGGGGAGCAAACGGG